rnacentral:rRNA from 1 species
AUGGACUCAAACCGACGCCCUUUCGGGGGUUAUUAGAGUGCGGACGGGUGAGUAACGCGUGGGAACCUGCCCUUUGGUACGGAACAACGCCUGGAAACGGGUGCUAAUACCGUAUACGCCCACCUUGAUUGGUUUCUUGGUGGGGAAAGAUUUAUCGCCGAAGGAUUGGCCCGCGUUAGAUUAGCUAGUUGGUGAGGUAAGAGCUCACCAAGGCGACGAUCUAUAGCUGGUUUGAGAGGAUGAUCAGCCACACUGGGACUGAGACACGGCCCAGACUCCUACGGGAGGCAGCAGUGGGGAAUAUUGGACAAUGGGGGCAACCCUGAUCCAGCGAUGCCGCGUGAGUGAUGAAGGCCUUAGGGUUGUAAAACUCUUUCAGGGGUGACGAUAAUGACGGUAACCCCAGAAGAAGCUCCGGCUAACUCCGUGCCAGCAGCCGCAGUAAUACGGAGGGAGCUAGCGUUGUUCGGAAUGACUGGGCGUAAAGCGCGCGUAGGCGGAUAGACAAGUUGGGGGUGAAAGCCCGGGGCUCAACCCCGGAACUGCCCUCAAAACUGUCUGUCUAGAAUCCUGGAGAGGUGAGCGGAAUUCCUAGUGUAGAGGUGAAAUUCGUAGAUAUUAGGAAGAACACCAGUGGCGAAGGCGGCUCACUGGCCAGGUAUUGACGCUGAGGUGCGAAAGCGUGGGGAGCGAACAGGAUUAGAUACCCUGGUAGUCCACGCCGUAAACGAUGAGUGCUAGGUGUCGGGCAGCAUGCUGUUCGGUGCCGCAGCUAACGCGUAAGCACCCCGCCUGGGGAGUACGGUCGCUAGAUUAAAACUCAAGAUUGGGAGCGGGA